GAGGAAUAUUGGUCAAUGGACGCAAGUCUGAACCAGCCACGUCGCGUGAAGGAAGACGGCCCUACGGGUUGUAAACUUCUUUUGUAAGGGAAUAAAGUGUAGUACGCGUACUAUUUUGCAUGUACCUUACGAAUAAGGAUCGGCUAACUCCGUGCCAGCAGCCGCGGUAAUACGGAGGAUCCGAGCGUUAUCCGGAUUUAUUGGGUUUAAAGGGUGCGCAGGCGGGAGAUUAAGUCGGCGGUGAAAUUUUGCAGCUCAACUGUAAAAGUGCCUUCGAAACUGGUUUUCUUGAGUGUAGAUGAAGUAGGCGGAAUUUGUGGUGUAGCGGUGAAAUGCAUAGAUAUCACGAGGAACUCCGAUUGCGCAGGCAGCUUACUAAGCUACAACUGACGCUCAUGCACGAAGGCGUGGGGAUCAAAC
rnacentral:rRNA from 1 species